AAAAAAUUUGACCUACUGGGGGUGCCCCGCUGGGCGUCCGUAGCACCACUGUAUAUAUUAUGGGACAAUUUAAAAAUUUAGUAAAAAGUCAAUAAGUUUUUCGAAAAAAAUCACUGAAAAAAUCAAUUUUUUAAGCUAAAAAAAAAUUAAAAAUAUCAAAAAAAAAAUUAAAAAAUUAACUUUUUACGCACUUCUUAAAACACUCUAGUAGACAGAGCCAAAAUAAACCGUCUCUCUCUCCUCCCCCUCUCUCUCCAUCUCCGAUUCAACCACAACCGUGCUGCCGUCGACGUCUCCUUCUCCGCUAUUCGACUCCAUCACGGUGACUCCAAUCAUCUUUUUCCUCCCUCUCUUUCUCUCUCUCUAUCUCUCUCUCUCCUCGUUGGGAGAGUGGUCACCUGAGCUUCAUGGUUGCUUGAGCUCCAUGGCUGCCUGAGCUUUCCCCCUCGACCUCUGUCUUCCGAUGUCUUCUUCGGCGCCUCUGUGUAUCUCAGAUCAGCGCUGUCAUCUAUCUUAGAUCUGUCGGAUCUCCGAUGAUCUCGAUCGGGUUUUCAGAAAACAUGGAUGCAACCGGCGUUGAUGUCAGAUUCCGGCGAACUCUUUAGGGUUUCGGCUGUCGGAAUAUAAGUUUGAAACUGGAGAUUGCAGCGCCGGCGGAGAGAGAACAUGAAGGAGGAGAAGAGAUCGGACGGCAGAGAAAAAUGAGGUUGAAGAGAACGUUUGCAAGUUUGCAAAGAAAAGCAUGAAACCAUAGAUCUGUGUCACAGGUCGCAGUCAUUCUCUAUUUUUUUAGUUAUUAUUAUUGUUGUUGUGGUAGAUUGGAUCUACGAAGAACCUCCCUCUACUUUUUUUAGUUGUUAGAUUAUUAUUGUUAUUGUGGUGGUAUAUCUGGAUCUGUGGAGAUUUCAAAUCAGAUCUUUUUUUUUAAUUUUUUUUAGUUGUUGUUAUUGUUAUUGUUGAAGAUUGUUAGUAUAUAGUUGUUAUAAUAACUGUUAUAGCAUUAUAUCUUUAGCAUUAUAUUAUAGCCUUAUCUUUUAUAUUUCUUAAUGUAGUAUACAACUUUUCCUUUA